AUUGAACGCUGGCGGCAGGCCUAACACAUGCAAGUCGAACGAGUGGCGGACGGGUGAGUAAUGUAUGGGAAACUGCCUGAUGGAGGGGGAUAACUACUGGACACGGUAGCUAAUACCGCAUACCAUCAGAUGUGCCCAGAUGGGAUUCGCUUGUUUGUUGGGUAACGGCUCACCAAGGCGACGAUCCCUAGCUGGUCUGAGAGGAUGGCCAGCCACACUGGAACUGAUACACGGUCCAGACUCCUACGGGAGGCAGCAGUGGGGAAUAUUGCACAAUGGGCGCAAGCCUGAUGCAGCCAUGCCGCGUGUAUGAAGAGGGCCUUCGGGUUGUAGAGGACUUUCAGCGGGGAGGCGUUACCCGCAGAAUAAGCACCGGCUAACUCCGUGCCAGCAGCCGCGGUAAUUC
rnacentral:rRNA from 1 species